AGCGUCUGUCACAGACCAGAGGAACAGGCAUGGAGAUCUGAGGAAAAAGAGCAUGCAGCACUACUGGACCGAAGCUUGAAGAGGGGUCAGACAGAGCGGGGGUAGCGCCACUUCGGACAGCACGGGGUGCCCUGCCUCUCUCACCUGGCCAGACCCACUGGCUCUCUACGGACCCCUGCUGCCCCUGCUACCUGGAUACAGACCAGACAUAGCAGCUUCUUCAACAAGCCAGAGGAGCUUUGGAGGGGAGUUCUGGCGGAGACUGGCGCCGGAGCUCGGAAGGGUCGAGGGAAGAGGACCAAGAGGAAGAUGAAGAAAAAUCUGAACUGAGGCCAGAACAUCGGAGAAGUGGUUGAAGUGCUGUCUACUCCCCUCCUAAUCAGUGCCCCAUCUGUCCCGUCUGUCCUGGUCUCUCUGUAACGACUAUUCUUCAGACAGUCUGUAAGGGCAUCGGGGGGUUCCUGUGGCUGGGGUUGAACGCAGCCCAUCCUGAAGAGUGGGGCCAUACAGAACAUGUCCUGCCGUGUGGAGUCGGAGCAACAGGAACUGCAGGGGGAGCUUCUGCGGCAGCGUGACGAAUGAGAUCGCAGGAGGAAGAUGAGGGUGAAGAGGGAGCGAGGGUGGACUGGCAUCAGUCUGGGGCCCCCUGACCCUGGACCCAACGGAGUUUACCAUGACAUCAACUCCACCUUCAAGAGGACCACCCUACUCAUGAAGAAACAGCACCGAGGGGUGGUAGAGCAUUUUGGGGCGGCAGGAUAGCCUAGUGGUUAGAGCGUUGGACUAGUAACCGAAAGGUUGCAAGUUUGAAUCCCUGAGCAGACAAGGUUACGGACUACACUGUCACCGCGCGGUCAUCACCAUCUGUAAGCUGAUUGGUGUAGAGGACAUGUACGCCAAGGAAGAGGGCUCCGUCAACCUGCUCAACAUCACCAUGGCUCUGUUCACCAGACUGGCCAAUCAGAGACCCAACAGUUUCUGGCUGGUGAGUUUCAGCCGGAGCGCGGGCCCCUGCCCCUCAUCGUGGCCACCCCUAAGAAUGGAGUGCAUCCUGACCACAAACCCGAGGAAGAGACAGGACAUGAAACGCAUGACAGGGCAUGUGACGUUGUCGAAAAUGAGAGCUGUCUAAUAAAAAUGUAAACUCUCCAAAAUGGCUUGUGUUGUGUGCAAUUGCUUUUGAAGGAGCUGUCAGGACAUGUCAUGCUUUGAUGACAGUUAUAGUGAUCAUUUCCUCAGCAGCUGUCCACUGCUCGCUCCGGAGGCUCUUGCUGCUUUAGCUUUUCAGUUCAUUUCCGCCUACAUUCCAGUAUGCAACUACUAACAGUCACCACCUUCCACAAGCAGCAAGAAAACGAAACAAUGCAGCAAGAAAAUAGCAUCAAACAACUCAAGAGCUUUAAACAGUGAAUGACGUUGUAAAGUCAAAGUAUACAUUUCUGCUGUACUUUUCCGUACUCUGACUUUCCAUGUUAUCUCUCCUUGACUCUAUUUUCAGACUCUAAUGGUCCCUUUAGUCAACUUAUGAGUUAUUAACAAUUAUGUGUCCUGUUUACCUCAACUUGGCAACCCCUUGGCAGGGAGUCUCUAGUUUGUAGUCUGAAGAAGCAUUAAUUCAGACAUGAACAGCUCUCCAAAAAGGGAUCCUUCCAAUAGUGCUGUCUGUCUUAAGCCAGACAGGCCAGACAGGCAUUUAUUUCAAUAGUGUUCUCUUAAUAUGGUCUUGAACUUGAUGGUUGAACUAAUGGUAGGAUUCAAACUAAGUAGUUCUUUGAAGACUUUCAGCUGAAUGGUUUGUGCAGUACAGGUGUAAUGUGUUAUGUGACAUCUCCACCACUUGGGGGUGCUAUUAGCACCUGAUAUUCAGGCUUCUUAUAUUGUUAACCCUUAUUAUGGAUAAAAUGUGGA
ensembl:lncRNA